rnacentral:rRNA from 1 species
ACAAUGGGCGCUAAGCCUGAUGCAGCCAUGCCGCGUGUAUGAAGAAGGCCUUCGGGUUGUAAAGUACUUUCAGCAGUGAGGAAGGUGGGUAUGUUAAUAGCAUAUUCAUUUGACGUUAGCUGCAGAAGAAGCACCGGCUAACUCCGUGCCAGCAGCCGCGGUAAUACGGAGGGUGCGAGCGUUAAUCGGAAUUACUGGGCGUAAAGCGCAUGCAGGUGGUUUGUUAAGUCAGAUGUGAAAGCCCGGGGCUCAACCUCGGAAUUGCAUUUGAAACUGGCAAACUAGAGUACUGUAGAGGGGGUAGAAUUUCAGGUGUAGCGGUGAAAUGCGUAGAGAUCUGAAGGAAUACCGGUGGCGAAGGCGGCCCCCUGGACAGAUACUGACACUCAGAUGCGAAAGCGUGGGGAGCAAACAGGAUUAGAUACCCUGGUAG